rnacentral:rRNA from 1 species
GGUUAAGCGACUAAGCGUACACGGUGGAUGCCCUGGCAGUCAGAGGCGAUGAAGGACGUGCUAAUCUGCGAUAAGCGUCGGUAAGGUGAUAUGAACCGUUAUAACCGGCGAUUUCCGAAUGGGGAAACCCAGUGUGAUUCGUCACACUAUCAUUAACUGAAUCCAUAGGUUAAUGAGGCGAACCGGGGGAACUGAAACAUCUAAGUACCCCGAGGAAAAGAAAUCAACCGAGAUUCCCCCAGUAGCGGCGAGCGAACGGGGAGCAGCCCAGAGCCUGAAUCAGUGUGUGUGUUAGUGGAAGCGUCUGGAAAGGCGCGCGAUACAGGGUGACAGCCCCGUACACAAAAAUGCACAUACUGUGAGCUCGAUGAGUAGGGCGGGACACGUGGUAUCCUGUCUGAAUAUGGGGGGACCAUCCUCCAAGGCUAAAUACUCCUGACUGACCGAUAGUGAACCAGUACCGUGAGGGAAAGGCGAAAAGAACCCCGGCGAGGGGAGUGAAAAAGAACCUGAAACCGUGUACGUACAAGCAGUGGGAGCACAGAGCAAUCUGUGUGACUGCGUACCUUUUGUAUAAUGGGUCAGCGACUUAUAUUCUGUAGCAAGGUUAACCGAAUAGGGGAGCCGAAGGGAAACCGAGUCUUAACUGGGCGUUAAGUUGCAGGGUAUAGACCCGAAACCCGGUGAUCUAGCCAUGGGCAGGUUGAAGGUUGGGUAACACUAACUGGAGGACCGAACCGACUAAUGUUGAAAAAUUAGCGGAUGACUUGUGGCUGGGGGUGAAAGGCCAAUCAAACCGGGAGAUAGCUGGUUCUCCCCGAAAGCUAUUUAGGUAGCGCCUCGUGAAUUCAUCUCCGGGGGUAGAGCACUGUUUCGGCAAGGGGGUCAUCCCGACUUACCAACCCGAUGCAAACUGCGAAUACCGGAGAAUGUUAUCACGGGAGACACACGGCGGGUGCUAACGUCCGUCGUGAAGAGGGAAACAACCCAGACCGCCAGCUAAGGUCCCAAAGUCAUGGUUAAGUGGGAAACGAUGUGGGAAGGCCCAGACAGCCAGGAUGUUGGCUUAGAAGCAGCCAUCAUUUAAAGAAAGCGUAAUAGCUCACUGGUCGAGUCGGCCUGCGCGGAAGAUGUAACGGGGCUAAACCAUGCACCGAAGCUGCGGCAGCGACACUAUGUGUUGUUGGGUAGGGGAGCGUUCUGUAAGCCUGUGAAGGUGUGCUGUGAGGCAUGCUGGAGGUAUCAGAAGUGCGAAUGCUGACAUAAGUAACGAUAAAGCGGGUGAAAAGCCCGCUCGCCGGAAGACCAAGGGUUCCUGUCCAACGUUAAUCGGGGCAGGGUGAGUCGACCCCUAAGGCGAGGCCGAAAGGCGUAGUCGAUGGGAAACAGGUUAAUAUUCCUGUACUUGGUGUUACUGCGAAGGGGGGACGGAGAAGGCUAUGUUGGCCGGGCGACGGUUGUCCCGGUUUAAGCGUGUAGGCUGGUUUUCCAGGCAAAUCCGGAAAAUCAAGGCUGAGGCGUGAUGACGAGGCACUACGGUGCUGAAGCAACAAAUGCCCUGCUUCCAGGAAAAGCCUCUAAGCAUCAGGUAACAUCAAAUCGUACCCCAAACCGACACAGGUGGUCAGGUAGAGAAUACCAAGGCGCUUGAGAGAACUCGGGUGAAGGAACUAGGCAAAAUGGUGCCGUAACUUCGGGAGAAGGCACGCUGAUAUGUAGGUGAAGUCCCUCGCGGAUGGAGCUGAAAUCAGUCGAAGAUACCAGCUGGCUGCAACUGUUUAUUAAAAACACAGCACUGUGCAAACACGAAAGUGGACGUAUACGGUGUGACGCCUGCCCGGUGCCGGAAGGUUAAUUGAUGGGGUUAGCGCAAGCGAAGCUCUUGAUCGAAGCCCCGGUAAACGGCGGCCGUAACUAUAACGGUCCUAAGGUAGCGAAAUUCCUUGUCGGGUAAGUUCCGACCUGCACGAAUGGCGUAAUGAUGGCCAGGCUGUCUCCACCCGAGACUCAGUGAAAUUGAACUCGCUGUGAAGAUGCAGUGUACCCGCGGCAAGACGGAAAGACCCCGUGAACCUUUACUAUAGCUUGACACUGAACAUUGAGCCUUGAUGUGUAGGAUAGGUGGGAGGCUUUGAAGUGUGGACGCCAGUCUGCAUGGAGCCGACCUUGAAAUACCACCCUUUAAUGUUUGAUGUUCUAACGUGGACCCGUAAUCCGGGUUGCGGACAGUGUCUGGUGGGUAGUUUGACUGGGGCGGUCUCCUCCUAAAGAGUAACGGAGGAGCACGAAGGUUGGCUAAUCCUGGUCGGACAUCAGGAGGUUAGUGCAAUGGCAUAAGCCAGCUUGACUGCGAGCGUGACGGCGCGAGCAGGUGCGAAAGCAGGUCAUAGUGAUCCGGUGGUUCUGAAUGGAAGGGCCAUCGCUCAACGGAUAAAAGGUACUCCGGGGAUAACAGGCUGAUACCGCCCAAGAGUUCAUAUCGACGGCGGUGUUUGGCACCUCGAUGUCGGCUCAUCACAUCCUGGGGCUGAAGUAGGUCCCAAGGGUAUGGCUGUUCGCCAUUUAAAGUGGUACGCGAGCUGGGUUUAGAACGUCGUGAGACAGUUCGGUCCCUAUCUGCCGUGGGCGCUGGAGAAUUGAGGGGGGCUGCUCCUAGUACGAGAGGACCGGAGUGGACGCAUCACUGGUGUUCGGGUUGUCAUGCCAAUGGCACUGCCCGGUAGCUAAAUGCGGAAGAGAUAAGUGCUGAAAGCAUCUAAGCACGAAACUUGCCCCGAGAUGAGUUCUCCCUGACUCCUUGAGAGUCCUGAAGGAACGUUGAAGACGACGACGUUGAUAGGCCGGGUGUGUAAGCGCAGCGAUGCGUUGAGCUAACCGGUACUAAUGAACCGUGAGGCUUAACCUU